rnacentral:lncRNA from 1 species
CAUCACAUGUACAGCUGAUUCUCAAGAUCUUGCACACUAAUGACAUGCUAUUGAGACGACACUACUACACUGCCUGAGCCAAGGACUACAUGCUUUCUGGAAAAUGCCACGGGCAAUAUCUGAUGUGUGGAGACAUUUCACUGCAGCUAAUGUAGAAGGAAAAGCUGUGUACAUUUGCAAAUACUGUGCCAAAUCAUAUGUGAAGAAUGCAACAAAGAUGCAGAAUCAUCUGGCCAAGUGCAUAAAGUUCCCUCAGCGCUCACAACAAGCAACCUCUGACAAAAGUCCCUCUACUUCUAUUCAAGAGUUCAACCGAGUUCAAGUGAAGGUCAAGCAAAUCAUAGAGAAAGCAGACUGCAUUGCAAUCAUCUCUGAUGGGUGGUUGAAUGUUCGUGGGCAAGGAAUAAUUAACUACAAUAUCCACCCCUCAAACAGUAUUCUACAAGAGCACAGACACAAGGGACAACAAACACACCGGUCUCUACAUUGCAGAUGAGCUGAAGACAGUCAUCAAUGAUCUUGGACCACAGAAGGUAUUUGUACUGGUGGCAGACAAUGCUGCGAAAAUGAAGGCUGCUUGGUCUAAAGUGGAGGAGUCUUACCCUCACAUCACACACAUUGGCUGUGCUGCUCAUGCAUUGAAUCUGCUCCUCAAGGACAUCAUGGCACUGAAAACAAUGGAUACACUCUACAAGAGAGCCAAUGAAAUGGUUAGGUAUGUGAAGGGUCAUCAAGUUAUAGCAGCAAUCUACCUCACCAAGCAAAGUGAGAAGAAUAAGAGCACCACAUUGAAGCUUCCCAGCAACACUCGUAGGGGUGGUGUUGUCAUCAUGUUUGACAGUCUCCUGGAGGGGAAGGAGUCUCUCCAAGAAAUGGCCAUAUCACAGUCUGCUGAUAUGGACAGCCCCAUCAAGAGGAUCCUCCUGGAU